GUUCGAGGCGAGCAGCGUCAUGCGCCGAGCGUGCAGGACGUCGUAGGAUCUGUUGUGAAGCUAGGUCGUGCCACAGAGUCGGAUAGCGUGUGAUGCUUAAUCGCCAACGAGUUCCUCAUCGAAUGAAGCCGCGUGAAGCCAGCGUAUGUGUGUGCCAUCGUAUCUGCUACCGCCGCCACCGCUGCUGCUGUUGCCCCCAUCGCUGCCUCACGGAUGUGACGCGGCGACGAAAUGGACGUGGCACUUUGUGAAUAUGUCCAGAAUUAACUGUGUAACGUGGUUGCAUAUUUUCUGCUAUAUCUUAUGUUUGUGUUUUCCAUGGGAGAACUGUAAUUAAUUAAUUGAAUAGUUCAUUUAUUGACUGACUGAGAUGCGGCAGACAGCCGGGGAAGGGGAGGUCGGUGACGGUGUGACCGUCUCGUCGCUCAGUCUUGCUCGCGUUAACGACGACGUUUAUAUCAGCAUGCUGCUAAUGCUUGUAUGAUGAAGCCAUAUAUUCGGACACGAUUUUCUGCCAAUAGAUUCGUGUCAGAGUGGGUAUGUGCGUGCAUGCGUGCGUGCGUGCGUAUGUAUGGGGUGUGUAGAGAAGGGGGUCAAUCACCUUUGAACAUGGUGUUGUCUCAGGGUGGGUUGAGGCUGUGGUUGAGGUAAAUAGAAGUAUUAUCCCAGACACAUCAAUGCACGGGUGGCAAAUCCAGCGUUAAUAAUGACUUUCAUCUGUUGCUCAGCCGACAGAGAUACAUGCCCAAUGUUGUCUCUGCUUGUUGCGUGUACACUGCACGUCAAUCUCACGUGUCAGUGUCGUGACUAGAGGUGGGUCGGUUGAAGCUUUGCUCGCGCCAGUGAAGCCGUACGUUACCUCCCUGGCGAGUGCUGCUAGCACACGUCCAAGCCGCGUACUAAUACGCAACACGCGUAGUGCCGACGUACUGAAUACGUUCGCUGUCGGCUGAGCAAAAAUAUUCUCUGUCCCCCAUCAUCGCAUUUUCGGAAAUAUGUUUUCCGCUUGGGCGUUAUCUCGCCAACUAGGCAUGACAGUCUCCUCGUGCAUGUAGAGCUAGUUUAUACAGCCGUUGCCGUGCUACAAAAUAGCGAUGAUGGUAGUAACUACAUGUGCUCUACCACUGCGUCGUUGCUUAGGAAAUGAGGAUAGCAUUUCCGCGUGUCUUCAUUGUGUGGGCGCAGCGCGCUAAUGGUGCAUUCCAGUUUUUAGAACCACCCCGAACUAAUUAUAUAAACGGGCGAGCAACUAACCUCUCUGGGGCUCUGUAACGUAAAAUGCAGCACAGAGCAAGCUGGGUGUAGGAGAAAGAGAGAGAGAGAGAGAGAUAGAGAGAGAGAGAGAGAGAGGUGGCGUCUACGUGAUGACGCGGUGCUGCCGUGUUUAUGAUGAGCCAUCUGAAUAUAACCAGCUUACAGCUACGAUAACAGACGCUUCACUGUUGUCUUUUCGUCUGCAUGGUGCAGUUAGCAGAAAUACCGGCUGCGUGACUCUCCAGCCGCUAACACAGGCUAGCAAGCACUCUUGGUGCGGAAUGUGUGCAAUACGUAGACCGGCAGUGAUUAUAGUUCACCUCUUUUUGACCUCUCGGGAUCAAGAGGAGUACUCCUAUGCGGUGUUCAAUAGAGUUUCUUCAACGAUACCUCACAGUGGCACCCUCUAUCGGCGAUGUGGGCUCAGAUUAUUAUCUUUGUCAUUGUUUUCGGCAUGCUUCUACGGAAUCCCAACAUGUAUCACUUAUUGUCGUGGUGAUAUUGAGUCCAUAUGUGGACUUUCCCUGCCCUGUAAGGACAAAGUGUCCGCCCAUCUCUCCCCUCUGUUCGCAUGAGUCACUGUUGGUCAGGCAAAGACAUCGUACUGGCUAGAGCAUGUAUAAUACUGUAUGUGAUAGUUUUUUAAUUGCUAGGUCUAAUGUACCAGUAUUCCUUAUUUAUUACGUAAUAUCUUGCGGAACAACGCGUACGCGAGUUUUUUCGUUUAAUGCCGUUUUGUGGUCUUUUGACGGCUUGAGUGUGUGAUGACGACGACGAUGACGACGACGACGACGACAAUGACAAUGAUGUCAUAUUUCUAGUUGCCCUGUAAGUUGUAGUUACUCAUCGUUUGCUGACAUUUUUUCUUUGUAUACUGUUUGAAAAUGCGGUUGCGGCCGUGUUCCGAAGGUGGACAUUUAUGUUGAUGUAUAUAAAAGGAACGUUGUAUUAUUUAUAUACAUACAUGGAAGUGCACUUUAUGUUUGAUGGGGACUAGGAUAAAGUGAGGUUAUUGGCUGUGCUUAUGUAAUCUGUAGCAAGGCAUUUACUUGUCCAGUAAUCUAUUCAUGAUAUCGA
rnacentral:lncRNA from 1 species